AUUGAACGCUGGCGGCAGGCCUAACACAUGCAAGUCGAACGGUAACAGGAAGAAGCUUGCUUCUUUGCUGACGAGUGGCGGACGGGUGAGUAAUGUCUGGGAAACUGCCUGAUGGAGGGGGAUAACUACUGGAAACGGUAGCUAAUACCGCAUAACGUCGCAAGACCAAAGAGGGGGACCUUCGGGCCUCUUGCCCUCGGAUGUGCCCAGAUGGGAUUAGCUAGUAGGUGGGGUAACGGCUCACCUAGGCGACGAUCCCUAGCUGGUCUGAGAGGAUGACCAGCCACACUGGAACUGAGACACGGUCCAGACUCCUACGGGAGGCAGCAGUGGGGAAUAUUGCACAAUGGGCGCAAGCCUGAUGCAGCCAUGCCGCGUGUAUGAAGAAGGCCUUCGGGUUGUAAAGUACUUUCAGCGGGGAGGAAGGGAGUAAAGUUAAUACCUGUGCUCAUUGACGUUACCCGCAGAAGAAGCACCGGCUAACUCCGUG
rnacentral:rRNA from 1 species